CUGGGAAGGAGAGGGGUGGAAUCUGGGGAGUCCCAAGGAGAUGCAGAGAAGCAGGAGAUGAACAUGUUGUGCUGAAUAAAGAGAGAGGUUGAAAAUGAAAAGAAGUUACGACAAUGCAGAGGAUCCUCGGGAUUCUGAGGAAAAUGGCAUUUUGAAAAUUGAGCAGGAAGUCAAGGCCGGAAGACAGUGGCCGCCGCUGACUUAAUAUGACACAUGGGAAAUGGAGACGAGGCCUCUGCUUCCCUGACACAACACUGAUGGACGCAUAGGAUGCUAUCUCUAAGGUCUGGCAAGAUGGCCUGGUUCAAGCCAGGCGACAGACUGCACAGACUGAGCUUGGAAGGCUAGCCAGCCAAGAGAGCCCUGGCUGGUUUCUCCAGCUAGCCAACCUCUUCGGUAUUUGUGGGUUUGUUUCCUUCCUGCAUUAGAUGAAUGUAACACGAUUCGAAGCUACUCGUGGAGCUGUUUGCCAUGACCUUAUCUGCCACUGCCCUUCUGCAUGGGUGAAGUGCUCCCUCUGUGUGCCACAGUGUGGUGUGGAAAGUGCUUGAAUCUUACUCUGAGAGUCGUUGGGGGAGCAAUUUGCCAGCUCCCAAGCACAGUGAGAAUCAUUCACUGGUUAUCAACAUUGUUUAAAAACAUGGUGUACAAGAACUCCCCAGACUCCUUAGAGAAGUGGUUUUCAACCUUUGGGAAUUGAAUGGCCCUUUCCCAGGGGUCACCUAAGACCCAAGGCCACCUAAGAUUGGAAUACACAGAUAUUUAUAUUGUGAUUCAUAACAAGUAGCAAAACUACAGUUACAAAGUAGCAAUGAAAAUAAUUUUAUCCAACUUGAAAUCAGUGCUUCUUGGGAGUCUCUCAUCUCUCUCUUUUCAUGCAGAACCACAGUGGAUCCAGACACACAGAAGUCUCCCCACGUUCCGUUUCCCCAUCAUUAAUGCACGAUUCAGAAAGACACUGUUGUGGGAUUACUCUUAAAUAAGGUUUUUGAAUUUCUGAACUAUAAAACACACAUACCUAAUGAAACUGGAGUGCCCUAGAAAUGAUUUUUUUAGUAUAGCCCAUGUGUUACUUAAGAUAUGGUUAUACUACGUGUAAGUAUAACUCAGGUAAUAUUUCGGUUAUUAGAGAAGUUGCCUUUGUGGCAUUCCUGUUUAACUGGGAUCCUGCAUUUGAUCAGACAAGUCUACUCUUGAAGCUGACGUAAAAGAAGCGACGUGGUGAUGCCCUGCCAUAUUUUCUGCACCUCUGGCUCUGAAAGACAGGCCCACAAGGUGAUUGACACUUUCGCCUUCCAAGCCAGAGGGAGCGGCAGUCUCAGCCAGGAUGGAGAAAUGCAAGGAGCUCAGCUGUCGUCGGCCUCAGGGAAUUUUUCCGCCAGGACUGAAAUUGGGGCCAAGAAAACAUGGGUCUGUAGAAGGCACUGCUCCCCGUGACUCGGAUGAGUUUUCCCUUUACUUUGGGCCUCAGAAGACAGCGCCUUUACCUCUUGGAGAUGAAAACUUUGAAUUUCAUUACGCUGAGAAAAUGUUAGAAGAAAGACGCCGACUUGCUAAACUUUCUGGUCUCUGCCAUGUUGUCUCCAUAUCCGUUUCCCAGUGGACUAGCAUGUGCUGAGGAGUUUUUUUCUGAGUUCAUUCUCCUAAGUUUAUCACACUCUUUAGCAACAGUAGCUUUAAAGUCUAGCAUUCAAUGCCCCCUUAUAGAUGAAGUUAUAACACAAUGUAUUUGUGCAACUCAGCUGUGAAAAGUGUUCAUCCGUGUGUUCAGGAAAACCACCAGUUAGAACCCAUCUCUGCUGCCUGGAGUUCCUAGAGGCCAGAGCUUCCUAGCUUAUUGUCCAGGUAGCAAUAGCUACAUCUCAAUGGAGAGCCCCCCCCCCGCCCCCCACCCCGUGUCAGUGCCAAACGAUGGACUUCGCACACAAGAACUCUCUGUCCUUCUAGGAGCGCUGUAAGGAAUAUAUUCACCUUGGACCUGAUACAGACAAGGGCACUGAUGGCACUGAUUUAGAAGUCAACGAAGAUCCUAGCAUUAGUCACAGAAAGUCAGAUUCAAACCCCAGAUUUAAACCCAAUUACGACCUCUGGUCAUAACCCAGAGUCCAGGCAACCAGCUCUCACUAAACCUUCUAGGGGGAAAAACCCCAGCAACCACAGGUAUGGAUACUCUGCUUGCCAGGAAAAAAAGGCAAAGAACCUUCUGUUGAAAAGUGAGUUCAUUUAGUACUGAAUGGUAAGCAGGUCUUUCCCCAGAUUCCACCACAGCACAGUUCCCAACUUGUCAAGCAUAGGAGUCCCAAAGUUCAUUUCCAAGCGGCUUUCCAGUCCUCACCCACCCCCAGCGCUUUCCAAGCUGCCCUCCUGAGCAGCCCACACUCACCACGCUGUCUCUGGGUGACAUUCACAUCUCCUCCCGACACCUUUCUGAUUUGGCUAUUCCCACCCGCCAAAACAGUAUCCCCUCAAAGAAACCCAAAGACUAUGCACGUUGUGUUGAAUCACAAGUGUGUGCUUGCAGCGGGUGUCUCUGAUGAGAUUCAUUUCAGAUGACAGUGGAAAUGUUAUGCUUCCAGCAGACCCACAAACAUGCGCGCAUGUGUGGAACCCAUCCCUACCCUAGUAAGGGUACUAAUGAGUUACCAGGAGGCAUGGGCUGCAAGAGGCAGGCAGAGAAACAGGAAAUUUUCUCUGUCUCUAGGGUGUGUGGUUAGAUUUUUCCCUGGGACAGGGUUCAUUGUUGGUUCCUUCCAAAAAUCCCUCCUCCUCACCCCCUCCCAUCUCCCACCUGUGAACACCACUGUCUCCAAGCUUCAUGCUGAAAUUCAUCUAUAAACCAGCACUCCCAAGUUUUCCUGGUCUAACCUUACCCUGUUCUCCAACCGAAUUCCUACUUGCCCAGUACAGCUGAGUGCAGUUGACUUUUAGUGGGAAGUCCUCUGUUGGGAUAGAUUCUUGCUACUUGGUUAAUGGUUGCUCCCAAUAUCACUUCAUCUGCCCCCCCCCAUCUCCAAUGCCAGGGUGACUAAUGACUCUUCAGAAUAGAUGGUAAAGCUGUGAGAUUUAAAGACAGACCUGGAUUUGAGUCCUGGCUCUACCUCUAACUUAGGAGGCCUAGGUAGUCACAUGACUUCUCUGAACCUCAAUUUACUGAUCUGUACAAUGGGAAUCAUUAUAAAAAGAAAUGGUGCUUUGAA